rnacentral:rRNA from 1 species
GAUGAACGCUGGCGGCGUGCCUAAUACAUGCAAGUCGAGCGAACAGACGAGGAGCUUGCUCCUCUGACGUUAGCGGCGGACGGGUGAGUAACACGUGGAUAACCUACCUAUAAGACUGGGAUAACUUCGGGAAACCGGAGCUAAUACCGGAUAAUAUAUUGAACCGCAUGGUUCAAUAGUGAAAGACGGUUUUGCUGUCACUUAUAGAUGGAUCCGCGCCGCAUUAGCUAGUUGGUAAGGUAACGGCUUACCAAGGCAACGAUGCGUAGCCGACCUGAGAGGGUGAUCGGCCACACUGGAACUGAGACACGGUCCAGACUCCUACGGGAGGCAGCAGUAGGGAAUCUUCCGCAGUGGGCGAAAGCCUGACGGAGCAACGCCGCGUGAGUGAUGAAGGUCUUCGGAUCGUAAAACUCUGUUAUUAGGGAAGAACAAAUGUGUAAGUAACUAUGCACGUCUUGACGGUACCUAAUCUGAAAGCCACGGCUAACUACGUG